rnacentral:lncRNA from 1 species
GUUAUUUUUUAAAGUUGGCAGAGGUGAGAAAACUAUGUUUUGUUUGACAGAAUGAGUAAGGGACUACUUCAGUUGCAGAAAGAUGGUCUCAAAGGCAAAAACGUUAGCCGAAGAGGAGCUGGCGUGCUGGGCCUGUAAGCAGCGAACAGGAGGCAAACAGGAAGUUGCUGAUCGUGCCUCCUGGGCCUGAGUGGCAGACAGACUGACAUGGCAGACUAUUUCUCUAUGAGAGUGAAGGAAAGAGCCCGAUGUCUUCCUUCCAAGGACGAAUAUGCCAACAACUUGCUAGGGCC